rnacentral:lncRNA from 1 species
AGAGGAGUUUCUGCCUCUCUGCUCAGGCCAGUUCUCCAGCGCCCUCUGUGGCGGCUGAGAGCAGGCCCUCUAAGGAAGAGAGCUCCGGGCAUAGAGAGCUCAGGCCUGCAGCAGAGGGAGUGCAGAUGUGGGGGAAGCUGACCCUGGAGUUAACAGGCUCAGACCUUAAAGGGGGUAGUCUCACAGCAGGUUCACACCCAGCACUUCAGAGUUUCAGCAAGUAAGGCAACUGCAAGACCCUCAUUCUGCCGGGAAGCUUCUGAUUAGGGCCCUAAACCACCAUCCUUUUCACAUCUGCAAGGACACUAGAGGCAACACCCAGGGUCACUCUGAGAGGGCCUGAACCUGCUUUAUUAACAGGAUCGAGGGUCAGGACCGAAGUAAGUCGUGAUGCAGGAAAUGAGUGCGUUUCACAGCUUGCUGAGCCCCUACUCGACCCAGGAAGCCCAGCUGGCCCCUCCUCUCAACAGGAGUGAGAAUCAGACUCAUGGAGGCAACCACUCAAGGUCACUCUGAGAAGGGUUGAACGUGCUUUAUUAAAAGGACUGAGGAUCAUGUGUGUUGGUGUGUCCCGGAGUCUGCUCUAAGGUAAAUAUGUGUGUGUGUGUGUUGGGGGGGCAGGGGUUGUGCCUGUAAUCCUGUGUGUGUGACCUCCUUAUUAGAGGAUUUUUGUUCAUUAAAGUAGGAGUGUGAA